rnacentral:rRNA from 1 species
UACGGAGGAUGCAAGCGUUAUCCGGAAUGAUUGGGCGUAAAGCGUCCGCAGGUGGCUGUGGAAGUCUGCUGUUAAAGAGUGAGGCUCAACCUCAUAAAGGCAGUGGAAACUACAUGGCUAGAGUGCGUUCGGGGCAGAGGGAAUUCCUGGUGUAGCGGUGAAAUGCGUAGAGAUCAGGAAGAACACCGGUGGCGAAAGCGCUCUGCUAGGCCGCAACUGACACUGAGGGACGAAAGCUAGGGGAGCGAAUGGG